AGUGAACGCUGGCGGUAGGCCUAACACAUGCAAGUCGAACGGCAGCACAGUAAGAGCUUGCUCUUACGGGUGGCGAGUGGCGGACGGGUGAGGAAUACAUCGGAAUCUACUUUUUCGUGGGGGAUAACGUAGGGAAACUUACGCUAAUACCGCAUACGACCUACGGGUGAAAGCAGGGGAUCUUCGGACCUUGCGCGAUUGAAUGAGCCGAUGUCGGAUUAGCUAGUUGGCGGGGUAAAGGCCCACCAAGGCGACGAUCCGUAGCUGGUCUGAGAGGAUGAUCAGCCACACUGGAACUGAGACACGGUCCAGACUCCUACGGAAGGCAGCAGUGGGGAAUAUUGGACAAUGGGCGCAAGCCUGAUCCAGCCAUACCGCGUGGGUGAAGAAGGCCUUCGGGUUGUAAAGCCCUUUUGUUGGGAAAGAAAAGCAGCAGGUUAAUACCCCGCUGUUCCGACGGUACCCAAAGAAUAAGCACCGGCUAACUUCGUG
rnacentral:rRNA from 1 species